AAGCAAGGAAACAGGAAGUGUUUCUUUUUUCCCCUCCACUCCUGCUCCAGCGGCACAAUGUGAUCCACCAGCAAGGAGGGACGCCAAUAAGGCAUCCGAUAAGUCUUAUAAAAUAUAUAGAUUUAUGAUAAUUAAGACUGAGCUAAAAGAUGAGGAAUCCUAGUCAUUGAUCAAGCAGCUUUGAACAUUAGUGGUCAAACAUGCAAAUCUACUUUUAAUCAAUAACAAGAAAGGAUCCUAUAUUCAAUGCAGGAAUCACAAGGCUGUUGAUUGAGUGUCUUUGAAACAUACUGCAGUCAAGCAAUUCCAUUGUCCUUCUGUGCAUUGUGAUUAUUCCAGCAAAGCCUUUCAAGUCCCUGCGCCAGUCAGAACAUCCCCCACCAGCAGAACUCUACACUGAACCACCACCAGUAAAAGUUCUAGCCAUGACAUUAGAUCAUUUUACCAGAGACCCUUCUACAACCCAGGAUGGGGUCCUCAUCUCCAGGCAAAUGGAUGGCACUAGAAGAAACUAUCCUGAGUGAGGUAACCCAGUCACAAAAAGACAAACAAGAGCCUUCAUCCAGUGGCUGAUGGAAGCAGAGGCAGAUAUGCACAGCUAAACACUGAACUGAACUCCUGGAAUCCAGUUACAGAGAGGGAGGAGUGAUAACCAAAGGGGUCAAAACUGGUCUGGUGAAAUCCACAGAAUCAGCUGACCUGAACAAGGGGAAGCUCAUGGACCCCAGACUGAUGUUUGAGAGGCCAGCAUGGGACUGAUACAGACCCCCUUAACAUGGGUGUCAAUCAGGAGGAUUCAGAAAUCUAUGGGGCCUCGGGUAGUAGACCAAUAUUUAUUCCUGGCACAGGAAUGGACUUUGGGAGCCCAUUCUACAUGGAGAGAUGCUCUCUCAAUCUGGACACACAGUGGAGGGCCUGGCCCUACCCGGGAUGAUAUGAUAGACUUUGGAGAUCCCCCAUGGAGG
rnacentral:lncRNA from 1 species